CUCCAUGAAGACGGAAUCGCUAGUAAUGGCGGAUCAGCUAUGCCGCCGUGAAUACGUUCCCGGGCCUUGUACACACCGCCCGUCAAGCGAUGGGAGCUGGGGGUACCUGAAAUCCCUGAUUUUUCAGGGCUGAAGGUAAAACCAGUGACUGGCGCUAAGUCGUAACAAGGUAGCCGUACCGGAAGGUGCGGCUGGAUCACCUCCUUU
rnacentral:rRNA from 1 species